rnacentral:misc_RNA from 1 species
GAUGAAGAACGUAGCGAAAUGCGAUAAGUAGUGUGAAUUGCAGAAUUCAGUGAAUCAUCGAAUCUUUGAACGCACAUUGCGCCCCUCGGUAUUCCGUGGGGCAUGCCUGUUCGAGCGUCAUUUAACCCCUCAAGCCUAGCUUGGUAUUGGGUGCUUGUCCCGCCUCUCGCGCGGAGACUCACCUCAAAGUCAUUGGCAGCCCGCAUCUCGCCGGCCGUGAGCGCAGCACAGACGCGCUCUUGGCAACGACGGAUCGGCUCUCCAAAAGCUUAUUUCAACCACUGACCUCGGAUCAGGUAGGGAUACCCGCUGAACUUAAGCAUAUCAAUAAGCCGAGGA